AUUGAACGCUGGCGGCAUGCCUUACACAUGCAAGUCGAACGGCAGCACGGGAGCUUGCUCCUGGUGGCGAGUGGCGAACGGGUGAGUAAUAUAUCGGAACGUACCCUAGAGUGGGGAUAACGCAGCGAAAGUUGCGCUAAUACCGCAUACGAUCUACGGAUGAAAGUGGGGGAUCGCAAGACCUCAUGCUCAUGGAGCGGCCGAUAUCUGAUUAGCUAGUUGGUGGGGUAAAGGCCUACCAAGGCAUCGAUCAGUAGCUGGUCUGAGAGGACGACCAGCCACACUGGAACUGAGACACGGUCCAGACUCCUACGGGAGGCAGCAGUGGGGGAAUUUUUGGGACAAUGGGCGAAAGCCUGAUCCAGCAAUGCCGCGUGAGUGAUGAAGGCCUAGGUUGUAAAGCUCUUUUUACCCGAGAUGAUAAUGACAGUAUCGGAGAAUAAGCUCCGGCUAACUCCGUGCCAGCAGCCG
rnacentral:rRNA from 1 species